rnacentral:rRNA from 1 species
GACAGAGGGUGCAAACGUUGUUCGGAAUUACUGGGCGUAAAGCGCACGUAGGCGGUUUGUUAAGUCAGGGGUGAAAUCCCAGAGCUCAACUCUGGAACUGCCUUUGAUACUGGCAAGCUCGAGUCCGGAAGAGGUAAGUGGAACUCCUAGUGUAGAGGUGGAAUUCGUAGAUAUUAGGAAGAACACUAGUGGCGAAGGCGGCUUACUGGUCCGGAACUGAUGCUGAGGUGCGAAAGCGUGGGGAGCAAACAGG